CAGGGGAGUAUGUGAGAAACAGGGGACUGGGUGAGCAAUGGGAGUAGGUGAGAAACAGGGGAGUAGGUGAGAAACAGGGGAGUAGGUGAGAAACAGGGGAGUGGGUGAGAAACAGGGGAGUGGGUGAGAAACAGGGGAGUGGGUGAGAAACAGGGGAGUGGGUGAGAAACAGGGGAGUGGGUGAGAAACAGGGGAGUAGGUGAGAAACAGGGGAGUAGGUGAGAAACAGGGGACUGGGUGAGCAAUGGGAGUGGGUGAGAAACAGGGGAGUGGGUUAGAAACAGGGGACUGGGUGAGCAAUGGGAGUGGGUGAGAAACAGGGGAGUGGGUGAGAAACAGGGGAGUAGGUGAGAAACAGGGGAGUAGGUGAGAAACAGGGGAGUAGGUGAGAAACAGGGGAGUGG
ensembl:lncRNA